rnacentral:rRNA from 1 species
CAGCCGCCGCGGGAAUACGUAGGUGGCAAGCGUUGUCCGGAAUUAUUGGGCGUAAAGGGCUCGCAGGCGGUUUCUUAAGUCUGAUGUGAAAGCCCCCGGCUCAACCGGGGAGGGUCAUUGGAAACUGGGAAACUUGAGUGCAGAAGAGGAGAGUGGAACUCCACGUGUAGCGGUGAAAUGCGUAGAGAUGUGGAGGAACACCAGUGGCGAAGGCGACUCUCUGGUCUGUAACUGACGCUGAGGAGCUAAAGCGUGGGGAGCGAACAGGAUUAGAUACCCCCGUAGUCCCUGUCUCUUAUAC